CCAGGCAUAUGUAGGCCAAUAGAGCUACUGACAAGAACCAAGAAAUUUCAAGUCUUGUACUUAGCUGGAGAGGUUUUAUCAGCGUGAAUGUGGCAAAUCCUAACAGAGUCCAGCAUUUGUCCCUUCUGGCUCUAUUAGAAAUAAUGGCAUGUUAGACUGGUGGAGUAAGUGCACUACUCAUGGUCAAUCAGUAAAGGAAAUUUUGAUAUGCCUCAUUUGUUACUCCUGCUCUUAGUCUGCAGUCUCAGCUGUACUCCUGAGUCUCAGAGCUGUUCAGAAAAGACCUGGAUUGAUAUUAGAAGGAGCAGAGGGGGGAAGUAUUUCCUUCUUACAUCAAACUUUCUGUCAGCCAGUUAUUUUCUUUUGUAGAGAGAUAUGCCAGAAAUAAUAUUCUAUCAAAAAUUACAUAGAGUCAUUAUUAUUAUUUGGUUUAUUUGUUAUUAUGUCGUGAAAGUAAAGCAAGAUUUAUUUCUUUUUUUGUUUGGGUUCAAAAGGAGAAAGGUCAUUUAUUUUGCCUGAAGGCUCAAAAUGCAGUCGUUGGUGAAGUUAUUUUCCUGGUUCCAGCACUGUCCAUCCAGCAGGAUGUGUGUCCUGCUAUCUGAACUGUCUCCUCAGUUGAACAGACUCAGUUGGAGUUCGUGUCCUGACCUGCACCCAGCAUCACAUGAGACUGUAUUUUAUAAUACGAAGCCUUGAGGAUUUGAGGAGCUUUAUUCUCCUGGAAGAGAGGAGGAAUAUGUAGGAUCUCUGAACUGAUACGUUUUGUUCAUAGGCCUGAAUGGGUUUUGCCUUUUUACUCUACUGAGAUAGAAAAAAGUUACUGUCAGUAUUUCCCUACUCACGAGGAGUCGCAGCUACUGAAAAGCCCAUAAAUUGCACAUCAGCGCCUGUCUGUAAUCCCAUGGAACCAGAUUCUGCCAUGUCUGUAACUGCUGGACCAGUCAAGGCUGCUGGGGCUGCCAGGGCUCACAAUGGCCUUUGCUAAGAAAAGAUGCAAGUUCUUAUGAGGUACUUUGAAGAGCACCUGAAGAUAAUCUUCUUUCACAUGAGAGCAUCUACCUAAAUGACCACCUUUUCCCUAUGUUGGAAGGUAAACACUCUCUUUAUAUGGUAGAAAAUAUGGGAGUACAUUUUAAAAAAGAAAAAGUCAGGUAUUUUUUGCCAUCUUUUGUGCAUUUGUACUGUGUGAUUUUAGAAAUCCUUUCUUUCAAAGGUGAAAAUUUUGCUUUAUAGAUGCAUAACACCGAGGCUUUGUCCCACCACUUGCUUUCCCUUCAUGAAAGCUGUAUUUCAAACCCGUGCUGGUGUUUAGAGCUCUGCUGUGUUAUUGCCAUAAUGUAUUCAUAGUUUUAACCUCAGCUAGAAAUUGCUUCUCACCUUCUGUAUUCUUCUCACCUUUUGUAUUCUCUCACCAGGUUUUGUGAGGAAGAGUGUCUUGAAUGGAGAUACAAGCUCUGAGCAUGGCAUUGUAUUUUGGUUCUCACCCUGACUUCCAAGGCCAGUUGCUUGAUAUUUCAGUGCCUGAUCAGUUCUUGUACUGAAGCAAGUCUUUGAUUCUGUUUUGAAAUGGCUCUGCAAAAGUAUACAAAAUCCUAGGAAGAGGUUCUGCUCCAUGCAGGAACGUAUCUGUUGCUAUACGGCAAUACCGUAUCUCAUCUAUCUGGUACAAUCGGAUGGUGCUCUCGUAGAACUCUGAAUUGAGUUCAAAUCUACAAGUGGAAGGUGGGAGAAGUGCUGCUCUUCUCUAUCAGUCAGAGGCUCAGGCUUUAUGAACAGAGUGUGUGACAGCACAAGGUCCUGCCAGAUCUGUGAGCGUGCCAUGUUCAGGCUGUUCUGCCAUUUUAUAGCUGCUAAUAUGGGGAUAUUUGUUAGUGCGGUUGAGAUCCUGAAAUGGGAGGACUGUGCCAUAAAACAAAUGUCCUUCUGUCCAGCAAGCCUUCUGACAGAACUUCACCCUCUCCCUGCCCAGAGCUAAGCACAGUCAUGUCCUGUCUGCUGCUGUAUAAGGCAGCACAAAAGUGGACUCUCACCUCUGGCAGACGGAACAACUGGAGGACCAUUGUGUUCUGCUUCCUUUUCCUGAGUGAGAAUCACCCACUUUGGGUAUUAAUUAUUCAUGUUGAUAUUUCUGCAUCAUUUAGGAAGAAUCUGGUGGCCCACACGGCUCCAAGAAUAGCUUCCCUUCGUUACUUUUUAAUGUGAACAUUUUAGUUUGCUUCAUCAUCCAGGGUUGUUCUGGCUAAGAUGGCGUACAUCUCCCUGCUGAAAGCAGAUGAAGCAUUAAAUGUUCUACGCUGCUACUUUUACUUGGAUCUCCAGCUGACAGGUGGAAAAGAGUCCUGCUGCUCAGUAUCACAUUGUCUCUAUCUGUUUGCUUCUCCAGAGGUAUGGAUGUAGUAUUGUGAGAUGCUGAUACUGUAUCUGCAAAUGAGUGGUCUGCAAGCAGCCUUGUGCAUGGUGCUCUCAAUGAACAUAAUCCUUUCUGCAAGAUGUCAGGGGCUGUAGCUGCUGCAAACUCUUCCCAUAUCAUGGAUUACUACCAAACAGGAACGUCUUCUUUCUGUGCAUAUUUCCUUGAAGUCCUUACAACGAUAUCAAUCAAAUAAGCAAACCUCUGUGAUGGCAUCACUUGCCUCUUGUUUCAUGCGAAACACAGAUGAGAGACAGGCUGUCAAUGUAAAGAAUAAAAGUGAAACCAACAAAACAAAAGCACCCAACAAAGUGCUGGGGGGAAACCAUUUUUAAACCUGCAGCUGCAUCCUUGCUUGCCCAGAAAUAAUACUUGCAGCAAGCAGCCCUUUUUCAGAGUAUCCAUUUUGUUUGUUUGUUUGUUUUCACAACAGGAUUCUGAGUUCUGAGAACAAUUAGCUGCACUGCUUCCCUGAGACAGUAGUUCUACUUAGUCUUUUUUCUCCUUUAUAAUCAGACUGGUGACCCAAGUGGAGCCCUGGCCUGAGAGAUGUUUGAACAAAUAUAUAGAAGGGGACUAUUUCUCCAUAUGCAGUCUCAGGUGGCUAUGAUGAGCCAAGCUCAAGAGCAGCUUAAUCUAUGCCUGAAAUGCAUGUGAGCCUUGGCCUGAUCUUGGAAGCAACCUUCCUGCUCUGUUUCUUCUUGCCGAAGUUGUAUUUGUUAUUUCUGCUGUCUUUCUCAGCGCUGGACGUGCAGAUUCUCUCAUCAGGAAGAAACUAUAGGAAAGCAUUUGGGCACUGGGCAGCAUGAGGACGUCCUUUCACAGAGGCAGCAGAUGAAGAAAAGAAAAAGGAAGACGCCCCAGUACCUUCUACCUCCUGCUUUGAUCCAGACCAUACAAAGAGCAGAUGUAUGGGUGUUCCUAAGUUAGGACCUGAACCAAUGAUUGAGAACCUGAUGAACAGACACAGCCAGCCCUGGGAGCACAGGUGAAUUGCUUUUGACCAGAAGCCUCAUUUAAGGGCUGGCUACCAUAGAGGAAGGAUAUCUACCUGGAGAUCUCUCCUUUUGGAGUAUUUGAUGAGCUCUGAUCCUCAGAAUGGUUCUCUGCUUAAUGUUUUGACUCAUCCAAGUAACGGAGAAAAGAAGACUUUUAAUGCCAACCAAAGCAAGAGCUCUGGAUGAACUAUCAUCUGCAAUUGCUCCAGGUAAUUGUGACACUGGAAAUGAACUCUUAUUUCUGCAGCCUUUGUACUUUGCUUCAUUAGACAUUACCUCGCCAAAAAUCAUCCCCACCCCACUUAGCAGAGAUGAGAUGCUGAAGAAUACCGCAGGGAGAGCUACUUUUAAACUAUAAUCCUGGAAAUGCUUAUGCCUGAGCUGUCCUAGUGAAAAACAUGUAUGACUCAUGGAGUUACACAAGCACAUUUAGUUCUGGAAAGUAGCUGUAGCUUUUCCAGAACAUCCCCUACAGUUCUUGGCAGGAGCUUGAGGGAUCUUUUGCAUGUCCAGGAUGUCAAGUAAAAUAGUGAAUGAUAAAGGUCUGUAUUCUUUUGUGCAUAUUUAACCAUCAUGUAACAGCAACUAUUUUUAUUAGACAAGAAAGGGAUAUUGCCAUCAAUGUUAGAUCUCAGCUCGCCUUGCCUUGAGGCUCGUUUCUUUCUGCACUGUAGCCAUUGUGAAAGGUAGCAAGGAAUUCAUUUGGAGAAAUUCCCUUCUGCUCAGAUAAGAAGGUUCAAUCUGGUAUUAUUUAUAUCUUAACUAUACAGUUAGUCUUAACUAGAAUGAUUGCUUACCUUCCCCCCACUGCCAAGAGAUACAGAGUCAUUAGUUACUUGGGGCUCAGUUUUCAAACAGUGCAAUGCAAUUACUGCUCCAGUAUGCUUUUGACUUCAGCAAGGUCUUCAGGUACCCAAUACCUGGAAGAUAAUGCCUAUCAGUGGUAUUACAACCCAGAAAAGAAUAAUUAUGCCACCAAAUUAAUUAAUGGUAAAAUAACAGACCUGCAAAUAAUUCCAUAGAAAUAAAAAGUUUCAGUUUCUAAUUACUGUGACUUUAUCAACUCCCAGAAAGAAACACAGUCUAUUGUCCAGAAAUAAUUUAUUCAUUAACAAUAAAACACUGAAUAGAAAAAGCCUUGUAAAUAAAACUAUAUAUAUAAUGCUUUAUUUUUUUUUUAUUUGAUACUCCACAAAAAACACUACAGACAGUAACAAAAUAAUCCAAUUAAUCUUAAAAAUUUCAAAUGAUAAUAGUCACUCUUCAUUUUAUCUUGUUUUAUUAACAAUGCAAAGGUCAUUUGUUUACAUGUUAUAGUUUAACUUGAUUUCAUUAAAUUGUUUCUUAAAACACUUGAAGCAAUUUGUUACUUGCCCCAUAAUUUAUAACAUACAUAAGUAUAUCAA